rnacentral:sRNA from 1 species
GUGGUAGGUUAGCUAUGACUCCCCUAAAGAUGGAUGAGCCAGUGGUAGGUUAGAUAUGACUCCCCUAAAGUUGGAUGAGCCAGUGGUAGGCUAGAUAUGACUCCCCUAAAGAUGGAUGAGUCAGUGGUAGGUUAAAUAUGACUCCCCUAAAGAUGGAUGAGCCAGUGGUAGACUAGCUAUGACACACCCCCAACCGAUCGAUAAGCCCGUGGUUAUUAGCUAUGACGUACCUAAUUGAUAAGCCAGUGUCUAACUAUUGAUGACGUACCUAAUUGAUAAGCCAGUGUCUAGCUAUUGAUGACGUACCUAAUUGAUAAGCCAGUGUCUAACUAUUGAUGACGUACCUAAUUGAUAAGCCAGUGUCUAACUAUUGAUGACGUCCUUGAUCGAUGAGUGACAGGUAGACUACCUAUGAUGGUUGUUAGUUGAUCGUAAAAUGAAGAUAAGCCUGAAGUUAGGAUUCCAGUGCGCCUUACGGCAAUAGAAAUAAGCAUUACAUUUGACUGGUGUGAUAAAUUACAUAUUUACAGAUUUUGGAUACUUUAAAUAUUUUGUAUUGACAUAAAAUUGUUUGAAAUGAA